rnacentral:rRNA from 1 species
AGAAUCAACGCUGGCGGCGUGCCUAACACAUGCAAGUCGAACGAGAAAGUGGGAGCAAUCCCACGAGUAAAGUGGCGCACGGGUGAGUAACACGUGACUAACCUACCCUUGAGUGGGGAUAACCUAGGGAAACCUGGGCUAAUACCGCAUAAUACCUACGGGUCAAAGGAGCAAUUCGCUUUAGGAGGGGUCGCGGCAGAUUAGUUAGUUGGCGGGGUAAUGGCCCACCAAGACAGUGAUCUGUA